UUGGGUUCUAGUUUGGGUCUUCGGUUCGGGAUUUUUUUCCAAGACCUAGUUAAGCUCUUUGAUUUAAACAUGGAAUAAUAAAGGUGUAUUUUUCUCUUUGCUGCAAUGGGUAGAUCCAAAAUACAAAUCAAACUUUGUUUUAUGGUUUUAGCGAAAAAUUCCUAUUUUUACGAUUUUUCCGAGAAAACUCAUUUUGAAGUUUUGGCGGAAAACCAAGGGAAAUUUUUAUUUUUUACGAUUUCGACAAAAAAGAUUUGUUUGGUGGUUUUGACUGAAAAC
rnacentral:lncRNA from 1 species